GAUGAACGCUGGCGGCGUGCCUAAUACAUGCAAGUCGAGCGAACGGACGAGAAGCUUGUUUCUCUGAUGUUAGCGGCGGACGGGCGAGUAACACGUGGAUAACCUACCUAUAAGUCUGGGAUAACUUCGGGAAACCGGAGCUAAUACCGGAUAAUAUUUUGAACCGCAUGGUUCAAAAGUGAAAGACGGUCUUGCUGUCACUAAUAGAUGGAUCCGCGCUGCAUUAGCUAGUUGGUAAGGUAACGGCUUACCAAGGCAACGAUGCAUAGCUGACCUGAGAGGGUGAUCGGCCACACUGGAACUGAGACACGGUCCAGACUCCUACGGGAGGCAGCAGUAGGGAAUCUUCGGCAAUGGGCGAAAGCCUGACGCAGCAACGCCGCGUGAGUGAUGAAGGUCUUCGGAUCGUAAAGCUCUGUUAUUAGGGAAGAACAUAUGUGGAAGUAACCGUGCACAUCUUGACGGUACCCAAUCAGAAAGCCACGGCUAACUACGUG
rnacentral:rRNA from 1 species